UUGCUCUUCAACGAGGAAUGCCUAGUAAGCGCAUGUCAUCAGCAUGCGUUGAUUACGUCCCUGCCCUUUGUACACACCGCCCGUCGCUACUACCGAUUGAAUGGCUCAGUGAGGCGUUCGGACUGGCCCAGGGAGGUCGGCAACGACCACCCAGGGCCGGAAAGUUCGUCAAACUUGGUCAUUUAGAGGAAGUAAAAGUCGUAACAAGGUUUCCGUAGGUGAACCUGCGGAAGGAUCAUUACCACAUAUCAUCAGGGGGGAAACUUCGGUUUCCCCUGUCUGAACCCUUGUCUUUUGCGUACUAUUUGUUUCCUUGGUAGGCUUGCCUGCCGAUAGGACAACCAUUAAACCUUUUGUAAUUGCAAUCAGCGUCAGAAAAACAUAAUAAUUACAACUUUCAACAACGGAUCUCUUGGUUCUGGCAUCGAUGAAGAACGCAGCGAAAUGCGAAAAGUAGUGUGAAUUGCAGAAUUCAGUGAAUCAUCGAAUCUUUGAACGCACAUUGCGCCCCUUGGUAUUCCAUGGGGCAUGCCUGUUCGAGCGUCAUUUGUACCUUCAAGCUCUGCUUGGUGUUGGGUGUUUGUCCCGCUUUUUGUGUGGACUCGCCUCAAAGCAAUUGGCAGCCGGCGUACUAGCCUGGAGCGCAGCACAUUUUGCGCAUCUUGACUUGAACGCUUGCGUCCAUUAAGCACAUAUUUUAACUCUUGACCUCGGAUCAGGUAGGGAUACCCGCUGAACUUAAGCAUAUCAAUAAGCGGAGGA
rnacentral:rRNA from 1 species